rnacentral:rRNA from 1 species
UACGAAGGGGGCGAGCGUUGUUCGGAAUUACUGGGCGUAAAGGGCGCGCAGGCGGCUCUGAAAGUCAGAUGUGAAAGCCCCGGGCUUAACCUGGGAACUGCAUUUGAUACUCUAGAGCUUGAGUACGGGAGAGGAGAGUGGAAUUCCCAGUGUAGAGGUGAAAUUCGUAGAUAUUGGGAAGAACUCCGGUGGCGAAGGCGGCUCUCUGGACCGUAACUGACGCUGAGGCGCGAAAGCGUGGGGAGCAAACAGG